AAACCCUAGCCUUUUCCUCUUAAGUCACACUUGUUUUUGCUGAUGAGAUUUCUUUUGCUUCAGCCGACUAUUGAAUGUUGAUUUUUCUUCACUGUGGCUGUGAGUGGAGACUUCAGGUUCUAAUUCUACUGAAUUGUUGUGAUUCAAGGGAGGUUGAUUUCUUUUAUUUUUGCAACUAAGAGAUACAUUAGAGAGAUUUCUGGAGUAGAGAUUCUUGAGAGACAGAAGUUAUGAACUAUUUUUGUUGGACUGAGAAUUUUAUUAUUAUUUUAUGGCAUUAAACAUUGUAUUGGAGAAUUAUUUUGAGGAUGUUUUGUAUUUGGUGAAUUAGAGCCCUGACUCUUGUGAUGAGACUCAAGGUUGCUAGUUUCUUUUAUUUAAUAUUUUUUUAUGGAUUAUUCAGAUUGAUUAGACUUUUAAUGCUUAUGAUUUUGGGGCGUUACACCAAAUCCAUCACAAAAAGAAAUUCAAGGCUAACUCUACCAUUUCCAAGGCUUGUCAUGUCUCUUAUCACAAGGGCAAGGGUGAAGAUUCCUAGUGGACUUCAAGUGAGGCAAAGAGAAGAUCCAAUAAGUGCGCAAACCAUGAUCCAAAGCAAAGCUCAUAUCCUGAGACCAACUGUGGGUGUCUCUCAAAUUCCAAGAGAUGAUGCAGCUGAAGAAGGAGGAGACACCGAAGAGGAAAUUGAGCAUUUUACUUUAGUUCCAAAGGACACUAGCUCCCAAUCGCCUUAAUCAUCUACUCGGAAGGAUUGAAGACAUGCAUGUUAUGCUAUCUUCUCACAUCAGCUACUCCACAUCUCAAUUCACCUACCUUGAAGGACAGAUCACUGCCCUCUCGUCUCAAAUUGAUGACAUGAUGAGAAACUUGAGGCAAGAGCCGGCAUCAGAUUCGGAGUCCGAUACAUUUUAGUCUCUUUGGCCAUUCCAGUAAAAAAAAGGGAGUAGUUUGAGGGGGAGUACAGCUUAAGGGGGAGUAGCAAAGGAACUUUUUAGUAUACAUUGGCUUAUUUUGGUGGUUUCCAGUUUACUUUAAGUUUUUAUAGCUUUUGGGUAUUUACAAUGCUUUCAUUUAAAGCUUUGAAGUACUUUAGUUUAAAACUUAAUUUUUCUUUAGUACUAUUGUGUAUCUUGGUUUU